rnacentral:rRNA from 1 species
AUUGAACGCUGGCGGAAUGCUUUACACAUGCAAGUCGAACGGUAGAGGGGGCAACCCCUUGAGAGUGGCGAACGGGUGAGUAAUAUAUCGGAACGUGCCCAGUCGUGGGGGAUAACGUAGCGAAAGUUACGCUAAUACCGCAUACGAUCUAAGGAUGAAAGCGGGGGACUCGCAAGAGCCUCGCGCGAUUGGAGCGGCCGAUAUCAGAUUAGGUAGUUGGUGGGGUAAAGGCCCACCAAGCCAACGAUCUGUAGCUGGUCUGAGAGGACGACCAGCCACACUGGAACUGAGACACGGCCCAGACUCCUACGGGAGGCAGCAGUGGGGAAUAUUGGGCAAUGGAGGAAACUCUGACCCAGCGACGCCGCGUGCGGGAUGAAGGCCUUCGGGUUGGUAAACCGGCCUUUCUAGCAGGGAAGAAGCGAAAGUGACGGUACCUGCAGAAGAAGCACCGGCUAACUAUGUG